UACGUAGGGGGCAAGCGUUGUCCGGAUUUAUUGGGCGUAAAGAGCGUGUAGGCGGCUUGGUAGGUCCGCUGUGAAAACUCGAGGCUCAACCUCGAGAUGUCGGCGGAAACCACUUGGCUAGAGUCCGGAAGAGGAGAGUGGAAUUCCUGGUGUAGCGGUGAAACGCGCAGAUAUCAGGAAGAACACCUAUGGCGAAGGCAGCUCUCUGGGACGGUACUGACGCUGAGACGCGAAAGCGUGGGGAGCGAACAGG
rnacentral:rRNA from 1 species